GACGAACGCUGGCGGCGUGCUUAACACAUGCAAGUCGAACGAAGAUGCCGGAGUGCUUGCACUUUGGCAGACUGAGUGGCGGACGGGUGAGUAACGCGUGGGUAACCUGCCUUAUACAGGGGGAUAGCAGUUGGAAACGACUGCUAAUACCGCAUAAGCGCACGGUAUCGCAUGAUACAGUGUGAAAAACUCCGGUGGUAUAAGAUGGACCCGCGUCUGAUUAGCUUGUUGGUGAGGUAACGGCCCACCAAGGCGACGAUCAGUAGCCGGCCUGAGAGGGUGAACGGCCACAUUGGGACUGAGACACGGCCCAAACUCCUACGGGAGGCAGCAGUGGGGAAUAUUGCACAAUGGGGGGAAACCCUGAUGCAGCGACGCCGCGUGAGUGAUGAAGUAUUUCGGUAUGUAAAACUCUAUCAGCAGGGAAGAUAAUGACGGUACCUGACUAAGAAGCACCGGCUAAAA
rnacentral:rRNA from 1 species